CAGUCGCUGGAUAUAGACCCGAAACCGAGCGAUCUAUCCAUGAGCAGGGUGAAGGUUGAGUAACAUCAACUGGAGGCCCGAACCAGGAUCUGUUGAAAAAGAUUUGGAUGACUUGUGGAUCGGAGUGAAAGGCUAAUCAAGCUCGGAGAUAGCUGGUUCUCCUCGAAAGCUAUUUAGGUAGCGCCUCACGUAGUACCGCCGGGGGUAGAGCACUGUUUCGGCUAGGGGGUCAUCCCGACUUACCAACCCGAGGCAAACUCCGAAUACCGGUGAGUAACGCGUGGGAGACACACGGCGGGUGCUAACGUCCGUCGUGAAAAGGGAAACAACCCAGACCGUCAGCUAAGGUCCCGAAAUCCUGGUUAAGUGGGAAACGAUGUGGGAAGGCUCAGACAGCUAGGAGGUUGGCUUAGAAGCAGCCAUCCUUUAAAGAAAGCGUAAUAGCUCACUAGUCGAGUCGGCCUGCGCGGAAGAUGUAACGGGGCUAAACCAGGUACCGAAGCUACGGGUUCAUUCUUUGAAUGAGCGGUAGAGGAGCGUCGUGUAAGCCGAUGAAGGUGGAUUGAGAAGUCUGCUGGAGGUAUCACGAGUGCGAAUGCUGACAUGAGUAACGAUAAAGGGAGUGAAAAACUCCCUCGCCGGAAGACCAAGGGUUUCUGUUCGACGCUAAUCGGAGCAGAGUGAGUCGGCCCCUAAGGCGAGGCCGAAAGGCGUAGUCGAUGGGAAACGGGUCAAUAUUCCCGUACCGGACAUGGUUGCGAUGGGGGGACGAAGAAGGCUAGGUGAGCCAGGCGUUGGUUGUCCUGGUGAAAGUGAGUAGGCUGAGAGUUUAGGUAAAUCCGGACUCUUUUAAGGCCGAGACACGAGAUGAACUGACCACGGUCAGGAAGUCACUGAUGCCACGCUUCCAGGAAAAGCCUCUAAGCUUCAGAUCAUGUGCGACCGUACCCCAAACCGACACAGGUGGUCAGGGUGAGAAUCCCAAGGCGCUUGAGAGAACUCGGGUGAAGGAACUAGGCAAAAUGGUGCCGUAACUUCGGGAGAAGGCACGCCGGCGUAGGGUGAAGAGACUUGCUCUCCUAGCCCGAACCGGUCGAAGAUACCAGGUGGCUGCAACUGUUUAUUAAAAACACAGCACUCUGCUAACGCGCAAGCGGACGUAUAGGGUGUGACGCCUGCCCGGUGCCGGAAGGUUAAAUGAUGGUGUUAGCCGCAAGGCGAAGCUCUUGAUUGAAGCCCCGGUAAACGGCGGCCGUAACUAUAACGGUCCUAAGGUAGCGAAAUUCCUUGUCGGGUAAGUUCCGACCUGCACGAAUGGCGUAAUGAUGGCCACGCUGUCUCCACCCGAGACUCAGUGAAAUUGAAAUCGCCGUGAAGAUGCGGUGUACCCGCGGCUAGACGGAAAGACCCCGUGAACCUUUACUAUAGCUUCACACUGGACGCUGAUGUUGCCUGUGUAGGAUAGCUGGGAGGCUUUGAAACUCGGACGCCAGUUCGGGCGGAGCCAACCUUGAAAUACCAGCCUGGCAUCAUUGGCGUUCUCACUCAGGUCCGUUAUCCGGAUCGAGGACAGUGUGUGGUGGGUAGUUUGACUGGGGCGGUCUCCUCCUAAAGAGUAACGGAGGAGCACGAAGGUACCCUCAGCACGGUCGGACAUCGUGCAUUGAGUGCAAGAGCAUAAGGGUGCUUGACUGCGAGACAGACACGUCGAGCAGGUGCGAAAGCAGGUUCUAGUGAUCCGGUGGUUCUGUAUGGAAGGGCCAUCGCUCAACGGAUAAAAGGUACUCCGGGGAUAACAGGCUGAUACCGCCCAAGAGUUCACAUCGACGGCGGUGUUUGGCACCUCGAUGUCGGCUCAUCACAUCCUGGGGCUGAAGUCGGUCCCAAGGGUAUGGCUGUUCGCCAUUUAAAGUGGUACGCGAGCUGGGUUUAGAACGUCGUGAGACAGUUCGGUCCCUAUCUGCCGUGGGCGUUGGAUGUUUGAGAAGGGCUGCUCCUAGUACGAGAGGACCGGAGUGGACGACCCUCUGGUGUUCCGGUUGUCACGCCAGUGGCAUUGCCGGGUAGCUAUGGUCGGACGGGAUAACCGCUGAAAGCAUCUAAGCGGGAAGCCCCCUUCAAGAUGAGACAUCCCUGAGGCCUAGAGCCUCCUGAAGGGCCCAGCGAGACCAGCUGGUUGAUAGGCACGGUGUGGAAGCGCUGCAAGGCGUUGAGCUAACGUGUACUAAUGGCCCGUGAGGCUUGACCCU
rnacentral:rRNA from 1 species